UACGUGGGUGGCAAGCGUUGUCCGGAUUUACUGGGCGUAAAGGAUGCGUAGGCGGAUGUUUAAGUGAGAUGUGAAAUACCCGAGCUCAACUUGGGUGCUGCAUUUCAAACUGGAUAUCUAGAGUGCAGGAGAGGAAAGCGGAAUUCCUAGUGUAGCGGUGAAAUGCGUAGAGAUUAGGAAGAACACCAGUGGCGAAGGCGGCUUUCUGGACUGUAACUGACGCUGAGGCAUGAAAGCGUGGAGAGCAAACAGG
rnacentral:rRNA from 1 species